GCCGUGGCUCAGUGGCAGAGCAUCGGCUUAGCACGCAGAAAGUCCCCGGUUCAACCCCGGGUGUCUCCA
rnacentral:tRNA from 1 species